UACGUAGGGGGCAAGCGUUGUCCGGAAUCAUUGGGCGUAAAGAGCGUGUAGGCGGCCCGAUAAGUCCGCCGUGAAAGCCCAGGGCUCAACCCUGGGACGCCGGUGGAUACUGUCGGGCUAGAGUUCGGAAGAGGCAAGUGGAAUUCCUGGUGUAGCGGUGAAAUGCGCAGAUAUCAGGAGGAACACCUAUGGCGGAGGCAGCUUGCUGGGACGACACUGACGCUGAGACGCGAAAGCGUGGGGAGCAAACAGG
rnacentral:rRNA from 1 species